UGCACCCUCUGCUCACUGAUCUUCCUGCCUCCGGCGUCGAAACAACAGAGCAGCCCCUGUUUGAUUGGCACCACAUCCACUCCCUCCACCACCGACGCUCAGUAUUGGCAGUGGGUACCAUCUACAAGGUGCGCUGCAAGACUCCUUCCUAAUGCACAAACUGUAUCAGCUCGAUGGACAAGGGCACCAGACAUAUGGGAACACUACUGCUGGCAUAUUGCCCUCCGAGCCACAAAGCAUGCCAACUUGGAAUUGUGUACUAAGUGCUGGAGAAACUCAGCAGGUUUGGCAGGAUCUGUGGGGAGAGAGAGAGAAGAGAAACAGACUUUAGACUUGAAACAUCAACUCGGAGUCUCUCUCCACAGGCGCUGCUGGACUUCCUGAGUUUCCCCAGCACUUGGCGUUUUUAAUUUCAAUUCUCCAACAUCUGCAAUACUUUGAUGCCAUUGAGAAUUUAGGCUGCUUGUGAGUCAGAAGCACAAGUCUCAUGUAGGAGAAAGACUGGCUUUUGGAAUUUCCAAUGAACAAAGAGGUGGGGGGGACUGUGAUGCAAAGCUCAGAUUCCCGCAGAUGUCGGCAAGUGGAGCAGCCAGCGAGUGUUUUCAGUGAACUUCCACGUAAAGAUGCAUUGCUGCACUGAGGGAGUGAGAGCGCUGACUGGUCUCGAUGUAUUCAAGUGAGGGUAAUGCUGCAUAAACACAGCAGAGAAACAAAUGGGAGGAUGUUGUGAAAGGAUGAGAUAAAGAACGCCCUGGGAGCAGGUUUGCACGGUGAAUGAAUGCCAGGACAGACCAUUUGGAACAAGCUUAAGCCCAGUCAUUUAGCCAGGCGUGGCUCACUUGGAUUCUCUCAUCCCACAUUACCACUAGCUUCCUGGAACCCAUGCCCAGUAAAAUCUGUUUGGAUUUGUACAAUUGAC